rnacentral:rRNA from 1 species
CAGUCGAGCGGAACGAUGGAAGCUUGCUUCCAGGCGUCGAGCGGCGGACGGGUGAGUAAUGCNUAGGAAUCUGCCCGAUAGUGGGGGAUAACCUGGGGAAACUCAGGCUAAUACCGCAUACGUCCUACGGGAGAAAGCAGGGGAUCUUCGGACCUUGCGCUAUCGGAUGAGCCUAUGUCGGAUUAGCUAGUUGGUGGGGUAAUGGCCUACCAAGGCGACGAUCCGUAGCUGGUCUGAGAGGAUGAUCAGCCNCAUCGGGACUGAGACACGGCCCGAACUCCUACGGGAGGCAGCAGUGGGGAAUAUUGGACAAUGGGCGAAAGCCUGAUCCAGCCAUGCCGCGUGUGUGAAGAAGGCUUUCGGGUUGUAAAGCACUUUCAGUGAGGAAGAACGCUUNCGGAUUAAUACUCCGGAAGAAAGACAUCACUCACAGAAGAAGCACCGGCUAACUCCGUGCCAGCAGCCGCGGUAAUACGGAGGGUGCGAGCGUUAAUCGGAAUUACUGGGCGUAAAGCGCGCGUAGGUGGCUUGAUAAGCCGGUUGUGAAAGCCCCGGGCUCAACCUGGGAACGGCAUCCGGAACUGUCAGGCUAGAGUGCANGAGAGGAAGGUANAAUUCCCGGUGUANCGGUGAAAUGCGUAGAGAUCGGGAGGAAUACCAGUGGCGAAGGCGGCCUUCUGGACUGACACUGACACUGAGGUGCNAAAGCGUGGGUAGCAAACAGGAUUAGAUACCCUGGUAGUCCACGCCGUANACGAUGUCGACUAGCCGUUGGGCUCCUUGAGAGCUUUGUGGCNCANUUAACGCGAUAAGUCGACCGCCUGGGGAGUACNGNCGCNAGGUUAAAACUCANAUGAAUUGACGGGGGCCCGCACAAGCNGUGGAGCAUGUGGUUUAAUUCGAUGCAACGCGAAGAACCUUACCUACCCUUGACAUCGAG